rnacentral:rRNA from 1 species
UACGGAAGGCAGCAGUGGGGAAUAUUGCGCAAUGGGCGCAAGCCUGAUGCAGCCAUGCCGCGUGUAUGAAGAAGGCCUUCGGGUUGUAAAGUACUUUCAGUCGUGAGGAAGGUGUUAAGGUUAAUAACCUUAGCAAUUGACGUUAGCGACAGAAGAAGCACCGGCUAACUCCGUGCCAGCAGCCGCGGUAAUACGGAGGGUGCGAGCGUUAAUCGGAAUUACUGGGCGUAAAGGGCACGCAGGCGGUUAAUUAAGUUGGAUGUGAAAUCCCCGGGCUUAACCUGGGAAUGGCAUUCAAGACUGGUUAGCUAGAGUCUUGUAGAGGGGGUAGAAUUCCAUGUGUAGCGGUGAAAUGCGUAGAGAUGUGGAGGAAUACCGGUGGCGAAGGCGGCCCCUGGACAAAGACUGACGCUCAUGCGCGAAAGCGUGGGGAGCAAACAGGGAUUAGAUACC